AAGAUAUUUAACUUCUGUGCUUUAUUCCUCCAGAGACUGAUUAAGAUCUUUGAAUGGAAAAUCCACAGAAACAGAUUUUAGUUCAAUGUGUAUCAUUAGUAUAUUAACAUAAUUUCAUUUGCCAUUUUUGGAGUUGUGGCUUUAAACCAGAGAACAACAUAGAUGUAUUUAACUCUAUUAUUUCAUCUGGCCAUCGCUGUAAACCUUCAGGUACGUAUUAUUAUUCUCAUCUUACAGAUGAAGAAACUGAUGUUCAAAGAGUUUCAAGGUCACUUACUGAGCUGAUAAGAGCUCCUGCGUCUUACUACACAAUUAUUAAACUGUUGUACUGUACUCAGUUACUUCAAAUUAAAAUUAGAAUUAGUCAUUUCAAAUUGUAAUUAGGAAUGUUUAAACUUGACUCAAUACAAGCUUUUCAAAAAAAAAGAAAAACACUUGGCAGGCUAAACCACAUUUUCCUGCUGAUAACUAUUUGACCUUCUCUUGGACCCUGGUCCACAUGCAUUUUGAAUGUUUGAUUUGGGGGUUCAAGCCACCUUCCCUGAAAGUCACACUGAAGCUCUUAUUUUAGAAGUGGGAGGUUAUCAUCCACUCAGCCUCCUUAAUGGCUUUUACGUUACAAAAAGCAUGUUUAUAAUUUCAAUGGAAAAAGCAUAUAUAUAAUUUACCGGUGAAAAAAUGCUUUGAGAUGCUGAUUUGGGAUGCUGUCUCACGGCAGAUAGUCGUUACCUGUAUACUACUAACUCAGUUGGAAGAGGAGUAAGCAAAUUGGGGUCUGGAUUACGUGAUACUCUCAGAUGUGCCAGGUGGUGCCAGUGCCAGCUAAUCACCUCCCUGUUGGCAGCACCGUGAACACUGUGCACCUGUCUUCAGAUGGCACUUAAAGCAGAGAAGCCUGCUGUGUGGCUGUGGGAGUCAUCAGAGAGGUGGCAGUGGAGGUUUGUUAUCGACCCAAUCAUUACAUCGCUACCCAAGAGUUGGAAACUUCCUGUGUUGCCCACGCUGGUCUCAAACUCCUGGACUCAUGGGAUCCUCCCACCUUGGCCUCCCAAAGCAGUGGUAUUACAGGCAUGAGCCAUUGCACUGGGCUCCUGUUUAGUUUUAAUUUUAAAACACCUCAAGAGUCAGAUAAUUCAGGGAAAGACCAUGCAAGGCUGUUACUGAAGAAAGUGCUACGAGUCUGUUCUAGACAUGGCUUGCCUAGCACUGAGCAUCCUUCCUCACUUCUAAGUGAGAAUUUUCCAGAUCUGUGCAUUGGGGUCCCCCAAGAAAGAGGCUCAGUCCUGAUGUACUGUUUCCUGUAUACUGCAUGCUCACCCCCCAAAACCACAUGGUUAAUCCAGAUCCAGCCCCUGCUUUCUUAGUUAUGAGGCUUCUCAUGGCAAAGCAAUAAAAAGCAAGUUUUCAAUGAUAAAGUCAUGUCUGAAAACAUGUUAAUUGUCAUCAUCUUUGAUGUUGUAACCUGAGCUAUAGAUUGUUGGGAUGCACACGUUACUCUUUUAAGCUUAUGUGCCUUGAUUCUGUCUACAUCAUUUCUUUCUUUCUGAACUGUGAACUGCGCUAAUUUGAUGGGGUUUGCUACCUGAUUGGGGUCCUGACCUUAGCCUUCAUCUUGCCAUAUACAGUUUGUUUUUGUCUCCAUCAGCGUUAGCUCUGUUCAACGCCCUUGUGGAGUCCAGGACUUAGAGAGAGGAUCUCCAAGCAGAAGCCCCCAGCCCACGUGAGAACAGGGAGACCCUUGUGCCCUUAACUGUUUUCCAUAGUACUGCCCAGCCUUGUACACUCUGGCCCAAAUGUUCCUCACCUUUGGAAGACACAGAACUUCUUUCAAAACCAUUGAAAUAUCGAGAUCAUUUCCGCAGAAAGAAAAUGUAAUUUAAGAGGAUCCAGAUGCUCAGUGUCAUCUUCGAAGAUGCCAGGUCACAUUGGCAAAGGCCGCAAGAACUGAUAUGAAAAACCAGAUGCAAUGAAAACCGUAACUGUACAUGAGACAGAACUGCCCAAGGUCAAGCUGGGGCAUUCUGUGUGAAGAGGAAGAUGCCUUGGCAGAAGAUCACUUCAUCAUGACCAGGGCAUCAGAAGAAGGGGUCGCAGAAUUUAUUCAUGAUUCAAUAAGUAUGCACCACCUGUCUGGAAGUGAGUUAGCAUAAAACAUAAGUUCAGUAAGAAUACAAGAAUGAGUGAGUGAAUUAAGAAAUGAAUGGAUUGGGAGUUACCAUUGGCCACACACCGCUUAGACAGUAGAAUAUCUCAGCCAGGUAGAAAGAAUGGAUCAUGGUGGCCCAGCAAAGCAUGUACUUCCUGGGGCAGAUUGUGGCAUCAUUAUCUCCAACAUCUCUGACAAUUUCUGUUUCAAGUUAAGGGCUGGUCAGCUUCUAUUCUUAGAAACACUUUCUUUACACAUGUCAGUAAAUCAAAUCUUGUCUUUAGAGACAAUCCAUCUUGUUAAACUAACUUUGUUUGGGUCUACCCUGACCCUGUUUGUGCCACCCCUGCCCCCAUACAUAUAAUCAGUUUUGUCUGUAGUUAUAAUUUGUCCAUAAUUUGGAAAAGAGAAGCCUAAAAAAGUUCACUCUAGACACUUUCAGCUAGGAACAAACUUAUAUGUGAAAAUAAUUAAAAUGUGGGGAGUGAAGGUUUAUAGUGGAACUAUUUACAGACCCUCAAACACUGCACAACAGUUGAAACUUUGCUGUAGUGACUUCAUUCUCUUAGUUGUCAAUCUGUUUUUCUUCUACAUUUCUUCCACAUACUUCUGGUAUAUUUUUAAUAAAGAUUUUUCAAAAAGAUAAAUAUGGCUUAUAUUUUCCCAGCUCAAAAUUCCCCUGAAGGCCUCCGAAGCAGUAAAUAGUAGUGCUU
rnacentral:lncRNA from 1 species